rnacentral:rRNA from 1 species
GGCGAACGGGUGAGUAACACGUAAACAAUCUACCUUUAAGUUUGGGAUAACCUUGCCAACGCGAGGCUAAUACCGGAUGUGAUGCACUGACCGCAUGGUUGGUGUCUUAAAGAUGACCUCUAUUUAUAAGUUAUCGCUUAGAGAUGAGUUUGCGGCCCAUUAGUUAGUUGGCGGGGUAACGGCCCACCAAGACUUCGAUGGGUAGCCGGCCUGAGAGGGUGAACGGCCGCAUUGGGACUGAGAUACGGCCCAGACUCCUUCGGGAGGCAGCAGUAGGGAAUUUUGCGCAAUGGGCGAAAGCCUGACGCAGCAACGCCGCGUGAGUGAUGAAGGUCUUCGGAUUGUAAAGCUCUGUUGAGUGGAAAGAAAAGUUUCGGAUCUAAUAACCGGAAUCUAACGGUACCACUCGAGUAAGCACCGGCUAACUACGUGCCAGCAGCCGCGGUAAUACGUAGGGUGCAAGCGUUGUUCGGAAUCACUGGGCGUAAAGGGAGCGUAGGUGGGAUUAUAAGUUAGAAGUUUAAUUCACGGGCUUAACCCGUGUGUGGCUUCUAAUACUGUA